rnacentral:rRNA from 1 species
GAUGAACGCUGGCGGCGUGCCUAAUACAUGCAAGUCGAGCGAACGGACGAGAAGCUUGCUUCUCUGAUGUUAGCGGCGGACGGGUGAGUAACACGUGGAUAACCUACCUAUAAGACUGGGAUAACUUCGGGACACCGGAGCUAAUACCGGAUAAUAUUUUGAACCGCAUGGUUCAAAAGUGAAAGACGGUCUUGCUGUCACUUAUCGAUGGAUCCGCGCUGCAUUAGCUAGUUGGUAAGGUAACGGCUUACCAAGGCAACGAUGCAUAGCCGACCUGAGAGGGUGAUCGGCCACCCUGGAACUGAGACACGGUCCAGACUCCUACGGGAGGCAGCAGUAGGGAAUCUUCCGCAAUGGGCGAAAGCCUGACGGAGCAACGCCGCGUGAGUGAUGAAGGUCUUCGGAUCGUAAAACUCUGUUAUUAGGGAAGAACAUAUGUGUAAGUAACUGUGCACAUCUUGACGGUGCCUAAUCAGAAAGCCACGGCUAACUACGUG